rnacentral:rRNA from 1 species
CAGUAGCCGCGGUAAUACGAAGGGUGCAAGCGUUACUCGGAAUUACUGGGCGUAAAGCGUGCGUAGGUGGUGGUUUAAGUCCGUUGUGAAAGCCCUGGGCUCAACCUGGGAAUUGCAGUGGAUACUGGAUCACUAGAGUGCGGUAGAGGAUAGUGGAAUUUCCGGUGUAGCAGUGAAAUGCGUAGAGAUCGGAAGGAACAUCUGUGGCGAAGGCGACUAUCUGGGCCAACACUGACACUGAGGCACGAAAGCGUGGGGAGCAAACAGGAUUAGAUACCCGUGUAGUCCCUGUCUCUUAUAC